rnacentral:rRNA from 1 species
AGAGUUUGAUUAUGGCUCAGGAUGAACGCUGGCGGCGUGCUUAACACAUGCAAGUCGAACGGGGUUUAGCGAGAGCUUGCUUUGCUAAACCUAGUGGCGGACGGGUGAGUAACGCGUGAGUAACCUGCCUUAGACUGGGGGAUAACACUUAGAAAUAGGUGCUAAUACCGCAUAAGCGCACAGUGCCGCAUGGCACAGUGUGAAAAAACUCCGGUGGUCUAAGAUGGACUCGCGUCUGAUUAGCUAGUUGGUGAGGUAACGGCCCACCAAGGCGACGAUCAGUAGCCGGCCUGAGAGGGUGAACGGCCACAUUGGGACUGAGACACGGCCCAAACUCCUACGGGAGGCAGCAGUGGGGGAUAUUGCACAAUGGGCGAAAGCCUGAAUGCAGCGACGCCGCGUGAGUGAAGAAGGCUUUCGGGUUGUAAACUUCUUUGACGAGGGACGAUAGUGACGGUACCUCGAAAACAAGCCACGGCUAACUACGUGCCAGCAGCAGC